AGAAUCAACGCUGGCGGCGUGCCUAACACAUGCAAGUCGCACGAGAAAGUGGAGCAAUCCAUGAGUACAGUGGCGCACGGGUGAGUAACACGUGAAUCAUCUACCUCCGAGUGGGGAAUAACCUAGAGAAAUCUGGGCUAAUACCGCAUAACACUUACGAGUCAAAGCAGCAAUGCGCUUGGAGAGGAGUUCGCGGCCGAUUAGCUAGUUGGCGGGGUAAUGGCCACCAAGGCGAUGAUCGGUA
rnacentral:rRNA from 1 species